GCUUAAACAGUAGGGAUGUUUAAUGACCCCAUAAAAUGAGAAGGUCAAGAGGCUCUGGGGACGCUUUGCGAGUCAGUUCCGCUCUGUCCUGACUCCAGGCUGACUGCACGGUGCCCCCGCUGGCUCUCCCUCACCCGGACACAAACCCCCAAGCGUCACCCCAACACCACCGCCCCCAAGCUUUUCCUGUCCGUCCACCUCUGUUACGUUACGUGGCUUAAGUUGUGUGCCCCCAGCAGAUACGUCCAAGUCCUCACCCCUGGUAGCCAUGAAAGUGAUCUUAUGUGGAAAGUCUCUGCCGGUGUCAUCAGGUUCGGGCGAGGUCAUGCCAGAUCUCCACGGGCCCAAAUCCAGUGACUGGGGUCCUUUUAAGAAGAGAAGAGACACAGAGACCGACACGGGGUGAGCACCGCGUGACAACAGAGGCUGAUCCCGGAGUGUUAGGUCCCGUGGCCAGGAGCAUCAAGGAUGGCCAGAAGCCUCUAAAAGCUGGGAGAGAGGCAGGGACCGGAAUCCGCCUCCCCGCCUCCGCCAACCCCCGCGGGGCUGGUGUUUGAAGCUCGCAGGCUGUGCUCAGCGUUACAUCGGUCUUCGAAACUAACACAGGCUCCAACAUUUAGAAGAGCUAACUGUGCAUUUUUGCAGCUUUCCUGGCAGCGGGACGUGGCUGGUUGACAAUGCCCUCCUCCAGGAGAAGUCACUGAAAACCUGCCAAGUGGCUCCGGGAAGGAUCCCACUGCCUGGUGAAAGGGAAAAAGAAGUGGGUCCCCCCCUUUCCCCUGCUUGGACUCGGACAGGGCUCAGAUCUCGGAGCCUGAGAAGGGCAGCGUGGGGGUGAGAGAGAAGACUGGGGACCCACAGAGAGAGGAAGAGGCUGGAUCCUUGAAACCCUCCCUCAGAGUUGGAUGGCACCCACCGCGGGACACACGAGCAACAGAAACCAUGUGUCGUCAAGGCUUCUCCAGGUGUGAACCGUCCCAAUGACGGGGACAGGAGUGUCACGGCCCAUCCGAGGCAGGAAGUAAUUGCCCUGUUGCUGGCGGCUUUAAUAUCAGAGACAAGAAGCCUAAGAAAAACUGAGCAGCGCAAAAGAAAGAGGGAAGUAAUACAUUUGAAUGGAGAAUUCACCCUCCCCCAAAUUUUAUUAUGAAAGUCUUAAACGGCAAAGCUGAAAGAACUUCUCCAGUGAGCCCCUGUGCCACCACCACCUAGAUUCUACCAUUAACACAUGACUUCGCUUGCUGGAUCAUCUCUCUCUCUCUCUCUCUCUGUCUCUGAGAAUUUUUUUGAUUAGAUGACUACCAACUUGCCCUGGGGACUCACUCUUUGCAGGGAAAAUGCACACCAGACUCACUUUCCAGGGAGCCACUCACUUUCCAAGUUCAUCAGCCCACGACCAACCGAAGCCCUUCAUAUCUGACCCCCUCCCCCCACCUUGUGCUAUUGUGAUUUGUAAGAAAUAUAUAUUUGCCUUCAUUCCUUUUCAGGC